rnacentral:rRNA from 1 species
AUUGAACGCUGGCGGCAUGCCUUACACAUGCAAGUCGAACGGCAGCACGGGAGCAAUCCUGGUGGCGAGUGGCGAACGGGUGAGUAGUACAUCGGAACGUGCCUAGUAGUGGGGGAUAGCCCGGCGAAAGCCGGAUUAAUACCGCAUACGACCUGAGGGUGAAAGCGGGGGAUCGCAAGACCUCGCGCUAUCAGAGCGGCCGAUGCCAGAUUAGGUAGUUGGUGGGGUAAAAGCCUACCAAGCCGACGAUCCGUAGCUGGUCUGAGAGGACGACCAGCCACACUGGGACGGGUACACGGCCCAGACUCCUACGGGAGGCAGCAGUGGAGAAUUUUGGACAAUGGGCGCAAGCCUGAUCCAGCCAUGCCGCGUGCAGGAAGAAGGCCUUCGGGUUGUAAACUGCUUUUGUCAGGGAAGAAAAGUUCUGGGCUAAUACCCCGGAGCGAUGACGGUACCUGAAGAAUAAGCACCGGCUAACUACGUGCCAGCCGCCGCCGUAA